UGCGCAGGCGGUUUUGAAAGUCAGAUGUGAAAUCCCCGGGCUCAACCCCGGAACUGCCUUUGAUACUGGAAGUCUUGAGUAUGGUAGAGGUGAGUGGAAUUCCGAGUGUAGAGGUGAAAUUCGUAGAUAUUCGGAGGAACACCAGUGGCGAAGGCGGCUCACUGGACCAUUACUGACGCUGAGGUGCGAAAGCGUGGGGAGCAAACAGGAUUAGAUACCCCUGUA
rnacentral:rRNA from 1 species